GCCUAGAGUGGAAGAUGGCAGGGGAUAGUCAAAAAAAGAUUCCUGGUGAUUGAAGUUGGAGGCAGAGGACCAGUUGCAUGCUGUUUUUUGAGCAGAUGUGGCCUGUUUUUUAGUCUUUUCAGUUUGUUCAGAUGAUUCUCGUACUUAAAAGCACUGAAGUUUUCUAGGACGCCGUGCUGUUUUGCAUCAUCUGCAAGGUGUACAAGGCAGUGUGCAUUGUACGACAGGAAUUGUGGACCAUACAGUUGACCAAAGAUGAAGAUUCCCACAAAGAGCAGCAUAAAGUUGUUGUACACUUCUGUCCUAAGAAUAUCCUUCAUCAUGACAGGUCCAGUAUACAAUAAAAACUGCCUGAACUCUGUUGCCUUCCACCUGUCGAUUUCCUUAAGUGACCUUGGUUUACGUGCAAAUUCUAUGGGCACACUUCUCCGAGCAUUUAUAAACCUUUCUGUUGUUGUGUUUAUUUGGAAUCCUGACAACCUACAACUAAGUGGACCCAGCUUUAGCCACAAGUGGAGAAGCCGUCUUGUGAUUCCAAGGCACACAAGGUGCAUGUAAUCGAGUGGGAAUCCAGACACCAUAUCCAAGGAUGUUUGUUCAAGAGGUACAGACCUUCCUGGGUGCAUUUUUCACAUCCGUGAUAGCCUGUAUGCCCUUUAACGUUUUUCAGGAAUGCACGUGCAGGUGCAUCACACACCAUGGAAGAUAGCUGUAACUGCAACUUCACUCCUUCAAACUCGAAACCAUUGGCUAAUUCGUUGAUUUCAGAAAUGAAGUCUUGGAGAUAUUCAUCCAGCGAGAAUGGGCCAGAACUGUGUUGCUGAGCUCUUAUAUAGAGGCAAGCCAUCGAUGUUGACCUGAAGCUCCAAAAUGUUAAUCCUCUCCAAAAUGUCAGUGUUCUGACGUAGCACCCCUGCAAUUGACUUUAGGACACCGAAAUGUAGCCCAGGUUGCCAAAUCAUCUUCAAGGGAAGUUGGAUCAUCCUCAAGUUCAGACUCGGUUUCUGAUUCCGUGUCAUCAAGAACACUUGACAUGUAUUCAGUGUCAUCAACAUGAGAGACACAGUCCAUAAAUAUGUCAUCCUCAUCGUUUUCAUGGGUAUUAUUUGUGUCACUAAGCAUGUUACCAGGCUCAUCUCCCCAUGCUGUUGCCUCUAGUGACUGCAGUUGUUUUGCAACCUUAUCUUUAGCCUUUCUUCUUAGUGUCCAAUAAGAAGCCUUCAUUUAAGGUGGGAAGACAUGGAAACAAGGAUGAAGUUAACGGAUGGCACAUAGUUCGCAAUUUAUUUUUUAGCUGCAUGUGUUCAACUACAUGUAGACAUUUUCGUAGUAUGUCUUCCACUAAAGAUCUGUUCACCUUAUAAGAAUUCUGGCGUUCAUUGUCCUAAAGGUGUGCUACAGCUCUGUUAUCUCUCUAUUAUCAGAAUUCUGGCUUGAUAUUUGGUCCAUCUGUUAACUGGCUCUGGUCCUUGAUAGUCUUCUCCAGAGAGGCAAAUAUGCUUCAAAGUUUAAAGACCAACAUUAUUCUACAAAUCCAUUUGUCUCUACUAUGAGCCAUGCCAAACUGACUGUCCAGCUGCAAACACUCCCAGACUAAUUGAACUUUCGCGCCAGCACUGAGGAACAGCCCACAAUAGCAGGGACCAAACAAUCGUCAUUCAGAGGAUCAAACUGUGCUGUGUAUUGCAGCUGUAACAGGUCAGAUGAGAACUGGUGGUCCUAGGUAACAGAGAGCAGCGAUCGAGCCUCCAUAACCAAAUAAAACCUGCCCGAGACUGUGUUUCUCUAAAGCUAAUCCUACCACAAUCCAUGUGCACCAGCUAUGAAAAGUGCAGACCAAACCUCUACCUCCACCUGUGAGUCUCUUCCCACAUGUAGACAAGAGUCUGUGAACUAAUGCUGUCAUCGACCUCAAACCUGGAAAAAGUCUGGAACUGCAAAGAAAGUUGAGUAUCCAAACUCUCAACUCGGGCAAAUCAAGCAACACCGACCUCAGCGAGCACUUAAGGAUGAACCACCCUGAUCUGCCAAGAUGCACAGAUUUAACUCUGGCCCAGCAUCAUUCCCACACCUCAUCUGCCAUGUUCAUUUAAUGACUGCCAACUGCAAAUGCUAUUCAUUUCAGUUCUAUUACAAUUUAUUUUUAACUUUAAUUGAGACUAUUAUUGUGUAAAUCAGAGUUUUUCAAACUCCUCAUUCCUCAACCUAUUAGACAAGUGUAAUCUACUUUUUCAUUUUAUUUUCUAUUUCAUAAUGUAAGAGUAAAUAUGUUUAUUUUACCAAAAUAUUUUGAUAUUCUAUCAAAACCAUGUCAUGGCUAAUUAUUAAUUUGGCCAAACUGUUGUUGCAUCAUAAGGUCUGCAACACACAGUAACGUACUGUUUGACCCACAAGUGGGUCCUCCUGACCCACAGUUUAAAAAAUCCCCUGGUGUACUGAAUGUUGUAUUGUAAUUAAAGUCCCAUCUAA